rnacentral:rRNA from 1 species
AUGAACGCUGGCGGCGUGCCUAACACAUGCAAGUCGAGCGGCAGCGAGGGGUGCUUGCACCCUGUCGGCGAGCGGCGGACGGCUGAGUAACGCGUGGGAACGUGCCCCAAAGUGAGGAAUAACUGCCCGAAAGGGUAGCUAAUACCGCAUAUUAUCUUCGGAUCAAAGGAUUUAUCCGCUUUGGGAGCGGCUCGCGUCGGAUUAGGUAGUUGGUGAGGUAAUGGCUCACCAAGCCGACGAUCCGUAGCUGGUCUGAGAGGAUGACCAGCCAGACUGGAACUGAGACACGGUCCAGACUCCUACGGGAGGCAGCAGUGAGGAAUCUUCCACAAUGGGCGAAAGCCUGAUGGAGCAACGCCGCGUGCAGGACGAAGGCCUUCGGGUUGUAAACUGCUUUUAUAAGUGAGGAAUAUGACGGUAACUUAUGAAUAAGAAUCGGCUAACUACGUG